GAUGAACGCUGGCGGCGUGCCUAAUACAUGCAAGUCGAGCGAACGGACGAGAACCUUGCUUGCCUGAGUUUAUCGUGGGAGGGGUGAGUAACACAGGGAUGCCCUACCUACAAGACUGGGAUAACUUCGUGAAACCGGGGCUAAUACCGGAAAAUAUUUUGAACUUCAUUGUUCAAAAGUAAAAGACGGUCUUACGUUCACUUAUAGCUAGCUCCGCGCUCCAUUAGCUAGUAGGUAGGGUAACGGCUUACCAAGGCAACGAUGCAUAGCCGACCUGAGAGGGUGAUCGCCCACACUGGAACUGAGACACGGCCCAGACUCCUACGGGAGGAAGCAGUAGGGAAUCUUCCGCAAUGGGCGAAAGCCUGACGGGGCAACGCCGCGUGAGGGAUGAAGGUCUUCGGAUCGUAAAACUCUGUUAUUAGGGAAGAAGAUAUGUGUAAGUAACUGUGCACAUCUUGACGGUACCUAAUCAGAAAGCCACGGCUAACUACGUG
rnacentral:rRNA from 1 species